AAGGUUAUCUCAUUUGCCAGCUGUCUCGUCACACCAGCACACCAGCGGUACUGUGUGACACGUAAAGAACUCCUAGCUGUUGUUAGAUUUACCAGACAGUUCCGCCACUAUUUGCUGGGGUCUAACUUCAUACUGAGGACGGAUCACAGCAGUCUAAUUUGGCUAUACAGGUUUAAGAGACCAGAAGGCCAGCUUGCUAGAUGGCUUAUAGAACUUAGCCAGUACAACUUUGUCAUCGAGCAUAGGGCGGGCACACACCACACCAAUGCUGAUGCACUGUCCCAAAGGGCACUGGAUGAGGGACCUUGUGACUGUUAUCAAGCAGGAAAAGAGCUGGAUAGCUUGCAGUGCAAGGGCUGUCCGUUCUGUCGAAAGCUGCACCAUCAAUGGGCCAGAUUCGAGAAAGAUGUUGAUGAUGUUAUCCCCUUGGCAGUAAGACGCACACACUCCAUUAAUUGUCAGAAUGAGAGUAGUUGCACUAACACAUCCAGUCAUGUUAAUGUAGUAGGUGCUGACAAUCCAGGUCCUUCCACAAACUGGCUGCAACAACUGGACCUCAGAAGUCUCAAAGAAGAACAGUUGGCUGACCCAGACCUUUCAAUUUUUCAUAAAUGGAUGUCUGAUGGUUCUUUGCCUGCAAAGGAAGAAGUCAUGAUCCUAAGCCCAGCAGUUCGCAAGUACUGGUUGUGUUGGUCCCAAGUGGAGAUGAAAGAUGAGAUCCUCUACUACCAUUGGGACAGUAUCACUAGAGGUAUGUCAUCUUUGCACUUACUUGUUCCUGCUUCCCUGAAGAAUGAGGUUCUCCAAGCCUGUCAUAAUCCAGCACAAGCAGGCCAUGCAGGGGAGGAAAAGACACUCAUGCACCUCCGCAGUUGUUACCAGUGGUACAAUAUGGGAAAUGAUGUAUGUCUUUUUGUCAAGAAGUGUCCACAAUGUAGUUGCUGUAAGAUCACCAGUCCAAUGGGAAGGGCCAAGCUCCAGAACUACCAGGCUGAAGCACCUAUGGACCGACUCCACCUUGAUGUCCUAGGACCAUUUCCAGAAUCUAAG
ensembl:lncRNA